UAAUUCAACAAGACGUUGAGGCGAAUUCAAACCACGCGCGCACCUAGCCGAAACUAUCGUGUUAUACUGUAUUAAAAUUUCAACAAUUUACAACUGAAACAUGCAACGCGCGCGGCCAACCCUCUCACCAAUCUGAUCCUUUGUCGAACUAAUUCAACAAGACGUUGAGGCGAAUUCAAACCACGCGCGCACCUAGCCGAAACUAUCGUGUUAUA